UACGUAGGGUGCAAGCGUUGUCCGGAAUUAUUGGGCGUAAAGAGCUCGUAGGCGGUUUGUCGCGUCUGCUGUGAAAACUGGAGGCUCAACCUCCAGCCUGCAGUGGGUACGGGCAAACUAGAGUGCGGUAGGGGUGACUGGAAUUCCUGGUGUAGCGGUGGAAUGCGCAGAUAUCAGGAGGAACACCGAUGGCGAAGGCAGGUCACUGGGCCGCAACUGACGCUGGAGGAGCGAAAGCAUGGGGAGCGAACAGG
rnacentral:rRNA from 1 species